rnacentral:rRNA from 1 species
AUACAUGAGCAAAAUCUCAACUUUAUUAGAAGAGACGCAUUUAUUAGAUAAAAAGCCAAUGCAUGCUUUUACAGUAUGAAAAUUGGUGAUUUAUAAUAACUUAGCAAAUCGCAAAGUGAAAACAGGCGAUAAAUCAUUCAAGUUUCUGACCUAUCAGCUUUCGACGGUAUGGUAUUGGCUUACCGUGGCAGUGACGGUUAACGGGGGAUUAGGGUUCGAUUCCGGAGAGGGAGCCUGAGAAACGGCUACCACAUCUAAGGAAGGCAGCAGGCGCGCAAAUUACCCAAUUCUAACAGUUUGAGAGAGGUAGUAACAAGAAAUAACAAUACAAGGCAGUUAAAAUGCUUUGUAAUUGGAAUGAUAGAAAUUUAAACCCUUUUUAAAGUAUCAAUUGGAGGGCAAGUCUGGUGCCAGCAGCCGCGGUAAUUCCAGCUCCAAUAGCGUAUAUUAAAAUUGUUGCAGUUAAAAAGCUCGUAGUUGAAGUUCUGCUAAAAGUAACCGGUCUGCUUUUAAUAAAGGUGGUAUCUUGGUGUGUAUUUAGCAAUGAUGUCCUUUGAAGUGUUUUUUACUUUAUUGUAAUAAAGCAUAUUCAGGACUUUUACUUUGAGAAAAUUAGAGUGUUUCUAGCAGGCUCACGCUUUGAAUACUGCAGCAUGGAAUAAUAAG